GCACGUAGUUAGCCGGUGCUUCUUCUGCCGGUACCGUCAUUAGCACAGGGUUAUUAACCGAGUACCGUUUCGCUCCGGCUGAAAGAGCUUUACAACCCGAAGGCCUUCUUCACUCACGCGAAUGGCUGGAUCAGGGUUGCCCCCAUUGUCCAAAAUUCCCCACUGCUGCCUCCCGUAGG
rnacentral:rRNA from 1 species